AGGUUUAUAUUCUCUCCAGCCGCGGUGUUAGUAUAUAUUCUUGGUCCAAUUUAACUAUUCCAGGUUUAUAUAACGCGCCAUUUUGCUAUCGAGAUUACUCUCUAGGGAGGGUAAUAUAUUCUCGCGUAAACGUUCCGUCUAAGACGGUAGGAACUGAACUCUAUAAGAACGAAGGCUUGAAGUUCUUUUUCUCGGUGGCUCGAGACAACAACGGUCCUGUCCGUACCUCCUUCUCUGCGGAUGGUACCGACCAGGCCCUGGCCCUGCGUUUGUGCUAUUACCGCAGUUGCUGGGCCUCCUCCCGGGCCCCUCGCGGCCGCUGCCGUAGUCGAGGGACCUCGUCGGGGACGACUUCUUUUCGUUGUGGGACUGCCGGUUGGUGGAGCGGUACCAGCCGCGGUUCCAGAGCGUGUAACUCUCGGAGCUGAUGCUCUAGUAGCUCUUGCUGGAGAAGUUCGUGCUGACCUCCUCGGCCAGGUGGCACCUCCACGACGUCAUGCACAAGGAGUUCACCCGCGACCGCAAGGACCACCCCGAGGAGUGGCCGCAGUAGCGCAGCGAGUAGUUGGAGCGGUAGCUCUUGUAGAGGCCGUAGUUCUACGAGGUGUACCAGGUCGAGCAGGCCCUGUUCUCCAUGACCCGGCCGAAGAAGAUGAAGAGGCCGAAGUUGAACCGAGAGUGCAAGCAGCGGCGGCACGAGACGCAGCAGAAGCGGGGGUGGCGGCGGCCGGGCCCGUAGGGGCUCUAGUUCCGGAUGGAGUUGCCGCAGCUGUGCGGGUUGUACAAGCCGCGCGGCGUCGAGUAACAGUUCUAGUAUCCGUCGUAGACGCGCCACAGCAGCCCCGACCUAGACCCGUUCCUUCCGGGCGACCACGUGUAGCCGCGCACGGAGCGGUUGGACGAGUCGGUCCCGCCGAGGCCGGCCAAGGCGGAGGCGACCUUCACCGACGCGAUGAAGUUGUUGCUGGCGCUGGCCGCCCUGGAGUAGUGGACGCCGCGCAGCAGCCCGCACACGCGGCGCAAGGCCAGCGGGCACCCGCCGCACGACAAGCGCGACCUCCUCCACCGCUGCACCACCGCCUCGCGCGACGACACCGCGUGGAAGAAGUCGUGCCGGUGGCACCACCAACACGACGCCCCGAAGUAGCUCCACACGGCGCCGCCCGCCACGCCGGAGAAGCCGCGCCCGCCCGAGUAGUAGAAGCUGCAGCCGCUGCAGUGGCAGGCCAUGGCGGACCCGCUGGAGGAGGACCAGUGCGAGCAGCCGCAGUAGCCGCCGCAGGAGCCGCGCGAGAUGUUGGUGCAGGAGGUGUACCACGAGGCGGAGAUGUUGGAGUAGUUGCUGUUCCCGGCCUACCGCUUCGACCGCGACCGCGACCGGCACACGCACAAGUGCAGCCGCCCCGACAUGCACGAGGGGAAGCGGCACGGCACGUGCGGCACGCUGGGCCGCAAGCCGCGGCGCACGGGCCGGUGGCCCUCCUCGCCGUUGAAGUUCGUCAAGUUGACGGGGCGGCCCGUCAUGUUGCUGGACCGGUGGGAGGACGUGCGGUGGUUGCACCUGCGGUGUGCGUUGUAGAAGAGGUGCCCGUGGGGGCCGCUCAAGGCCGACCUGAGGGACGAGUAGAAGAAGCGGUAGAUGACGCACGACCCCGAGAAGUGGAAGCCGUAGCGGCACGGCAGCCCCGAGAAGGAGGGGUAGUAGGAGUACCCGCGGCGGAUGCCGGCGUAGCACCGCGAGCACGAGGUCUCGCGCCACCGCCGCUCGUAGCUGGUGCCGGAGAUGCGGCACGAGCCGCGGCGCCGCGAGUACAGCCCGAGGUACUCCUACUGGCAGAGCGAGACGCAGUAGAAGGACCUCGAGUGGUUGUUGGAGUGAGACGACGGGUACUGGUACAAGCACGACGAGUAGCGGUUCUGGCAGCCGCUGCGGAAGUUGGGGUCGUAGAUGCUCUAGUAGGACCUGGAGUUCCCCGACGGGAAGGAUCUUGGGUUCGGCCUCGGCACCUACUUCCUGGAGUGUCAGCCGCUCGAGCGGCGGCGGUUCCGCGCGUGGUAGUCGGAGGUCCACCAGCUCUUUCACAGGUGGCAGGACCUCCACGACGCCUUGUGGCCGGUGUUGCCCAAGGGCCACCACCUGGCCGGAGCCGGGCCGGACAGCCUCGACGUGCCCGACCAGGAGGCCAGCGUGGAGCACCGGCAGGACUCCUUCGCCACCAAGGACCGCCUCUUCUCCUCCUGCCUCCUCACCCUCCGGUCCCUCGCCAAGAGCAGCCACCUUGACCGGCUGUUCUUGACGUUCUAGCUGCUGGAGCUCGAGUGCGGCCUCCUCGACCUCUACAUGCACCUGGAGGUGGGCAAGUGGUUGUGCUGCGGCAUGUGGCACCACCUCUGGUACAGCCACCGGUUCCGGCACCACGACAAGGCGAGGCAGCGCGAGGCCGUGUACGAGUAGUACGGGUUCAUGGUCCCGGGGCUCUAUAGAGGCGAACACCCCUAGAACUGCUCCGUUCUGGACGCCCGCGUGUUGUAGGAGCCGCGUAAAGGAGUGGACAGUUUCUUCUCGUUCCGUGUGAUUUCGAGUUCGACUCCGACUUUCGAUGAUCGUGGUAAAAACUCUUAGACCUAACGAUUUAGAGUCAACUAACUCUGAACAGAGCCAGGUACCGAGGUACGAUAUAAGCACUCUAGAAGACACUUCUAGACACGUUUUUCAAAAAAAACACAUUAAACUUACUCUGAACUAAUUCAGAAUCAACUGAUUUUAAAUCCUCCAUUUAUGUGGCCGUCAGUGUCUUAAACGUGCGCCGCCAGUCAAAUCACAUGUUUGAACGUUUUAUGCACAAAACCAAUAGUUUGAACGUGCCUGCACGUUUAUGC
rnacentral:rRNA from 1 species